rnacentral:ncRNA from 1 species
GUCUAAGUACAUGCCGUAUUAAAGCGAACCGAGAAAGGCUCUUAAAUGAGUUAUGCUUCCUUGAAUCGUACCUUAUUACUUGGAUAACUGUAGCACUUCUAGAGCUAAUAUAUGCAUUAGAGCUGCAACCCUUUGGCGACAAGCUCUUUUGUUAGACAAAAACCAAUGGGGGCCUCGUUUUCGUAUUAUGUGGUGACUCUGUAUAACUUUGGGUUGAUUGCACGGGCUCUUCCCAACGACUAUCUUUCAAAUAUCUGCCUUAUCAACUGUCGAUGUCGGGUUACGCUCCUAACCACGGGUCCAAAAGGAAACCGAAGCCUUCCAUCGGAAUUCCUGAUGCCGGUAGAACUUGCAAUUUGGGAG